UACAGAGGUCUCAAGCGUUGUUCGGAUUCAUUGGGCGUAAAGGGUGCGUAGGUGGCGCCGUAAGUCAGGUGUGAAAUUUCGGAGCUUAACUCCGAAAACUGCAUUUGAUACUGCGGUGCUUGAGGACUGGAGAGGAGACUGGAAUUCACGGUGUAGCAGUGAAAUGCGUAGAUAUCGUGAGGAAGACCAGUGGCGAAGGCGGGGUCUCUGGACAGUUCCUGACACUGAGGCACGAAGGCCAGGGGAGCAAACGGG
rnacentral:rRNA from 1 species